UACAGAGGUGGCAAGCGUUGUUCGGAUUUAUUGGGCGUAAAGGGUCCGUAGGCGGUUUGGAAAGUCAGAUGUGAAAUCCCACAGCUCAACUGUGGAACUGCAUUUGAAACUUCCAGACUAGAGUAUGAGAGGGGUUAAGGGAAUUCCCGGUGUAAGGGUGAAAUCUGCAGAGAUCGGGAGGAACACCAGUCGCGAAGGCGCCUCACUGGUCCAUUACUGACGCUCAGGGACGAAAGCUAGGGGAGCGAACGGG
rnacentral:rRNA from 1 species